rnacentral:rRNA from 1 species
GACGAACGCUGGCGGCGUGCCUAAUACAUGCAAGUCGAACGCUUCUUUUUCCACCGGAGCUUGCUCCACCGGAAAAAGAGGAGUGGCGAACGGGUGAGUAACACGUGGGUAACCUGCCCAUCAGAAGGGGAUAACACUUGGAAACAGGUGCUAAUACCGUAUAAUAAUCGAAACCGCAUGGUUUUGAUUUGAAAGGCGCUUUCGGGUGUCGCUGAUGGAUGGACCCGCGGUGCAUUAGCUAGUUGGUGAGGUAACGGCUCACCAAGGCCACGAUGCAUAGCCGACCUGAGAGGGUGAUCGGGCCACAUUGGGACUGAGACACGGGCCCAGACUCCUACGGGAGGCAGCAGUGGGGGAUAUUGCACAAUGGGCGAAAGCCUGAUGCAGCGACGCCGCGUGAGGGAAGACGGGUCUUCGGGAUUGGUAAACCUCUGU